rnacentral:misc_RNA from 1 species
GUGAAUCAUCGAAUCUUUGAACGCAUAUUGCGCUCGAGACUUCGGUCGAGAGCAUGCCUGUCUCAGCGUCGGCUCACCCCUCGCCCACCCUCCUCAUGUUUUCCGGAACGGGGGGAGGUGUCUGGACGGACGUGGCCGUCUCGAUUGGGCUCUUUCUUCCCUCGAGGAACAAAGGGCAACAACCGAUCGGGUCGGCUGAAGUGCAGGGCCCGCGGCGCGACCCGGACAAGAGGGCGCCAGCAUGGUAGGUGGCUCAACGCUGCAUGCCGCUGUCGCCUGCCCUUGGCCCGAUCAGUGUCG